CACUGGGGUCCGGCCGUGUUUUUUUUGCUGCCGUGUAAGAGGCUGCAUGUUUGGAGGUCAUUAGCAAGGGCAACAGAUUCCUGGCCAUGGCAGGGACAACGUGGUGUGGAGUCAGCAGCAAUAGCAGCUCCCUUCUGGGCCAGUCUGCCAUCCUGGAAACUGGUCCUGAGAACCCGUUGUAGACCUUGUGCUGAAUCCCUUCCAAAGACUCAAGGAGCUCUCUAGUGUCUUGUAAUAAAUUCUAUCCUGCUUUGAACUAUCCCAGGGGAUUCAGUUGUCUGCAGCUAAGAAACCUGACUGAUACAAGACCCUUCCAGAACGCACACACCAUUGUGCUCACGAGUAAAAGACAACCUUCCCUUCCCUGGCCCUGCUGGCCGCUGGAGGCUGCCAGGAGUCUGCGGGGGACGAGGCAGCAGCCCAGCCGUCCUCCUUCUUUCCCUGCCUCUGUAACCACGUGACUACGGACUGCAAGCAAACUGCGGCACAGAUCUCCAAACAGACAUCACUUUCUGAGAAGACACUUCCAUGAAGCUCCAUUCAGAGAACCAUUCUGUUACCGGAGGCAUCCUGACCGCCACGAGGGCACAGAGAGCCAAAGGGAGCAACACACAAGGAACAGUUAAGAGAUCUGGAGGACGGAUGGAGGGGCUUCCGCAUUUACCUAAGAGACGUUCCAGAGGAAGAACAGGAGGAAACAACAGUGGAGAAGCGAUAGGUAAUGGGACAACCACUGAGAAUUUUCGAGAGCUAAAGACAGACUGUGAUUUGAGAUCGCAAGUCAAAAAUGCACUCCAAGAAGAGACAACAUAAAUUAAGAUAAAUCUGUAUGUGGCUCUAUGUUAAUUAAACCACAGAAUAUGGGGGCACCUGGGUGGCUCAGUCGAUGAAGCGUCUACCUUCAGCUCAGGUCACAAUCUCAGGGUCCUGGGAUUGAGCCCUGCAUCGGGAUCU